GAUGAACGCUAGCGGCAGGCUUAACACAUGCAAGUCGAGGGGCAGCGUGAGGGUUAGCAAUAACCCUUGACGGCGACCGGCGCAAGGGUGCGUAACGCGUGAGCAACUUGCCCUUAUCAGGGGGAUAACCGGUGGAAACGCCGACUAAUACCCCAUGGCAUCACAUCAAGGCAUCUUUUUGUGAUUAAAGAAAUUCGGAUAAGGAUAGGCUCGCGUGACAUUAGCUAGACGGCGGGGUAACGGCCCACCGUGGCGACGAUGUCUAGGGGUUCUGAGAGGAAGGUCCCCCACACUGGAACUGAGACACGGUCCAGACUCCUACGGGAGGCAGCAGUGAGGAAUAUUGGUCAAUGGUCGGAAGACUGAACCAGCCAAGUAGCGUGAAGGAUGAAGGUUCAUGGAUUGUAAACUUCUUUUAUACGGGAAUAAACCUCCCACGUGUGGGAGCUUGUAUGUACCGUAUGAAUAAGCAUCGGCUAAUUCCGUGCCAGCAGCCGCGGU
rnacentral:rRNA from 1 species